AAGUCGUAACAAGGUUUCCGUAGGUGAACCUGCGGAAGGAUCAUUAAAAAUGAAGCCGGGAAACCGGUCCUUCUAACCCUUGAUUAUCUUAAUUUGUUGCUUUGGUGGGCCGCGCAAGCACUGGCUUCGGCUAGCUAGUGCCCACCAGAGGACCACAACUCUGUAAUAAAUGUCGUCUGAGUACUAUAAAAUAGUUAAAACUUUCAACAACGGAUCUCUUGGUUCUGGCAUCGAUGAAGAACGCAGCGAAAUGCGAUAAGUAAUGUGAAUUGCAGAAUUCAGUGAAUCAUCGAAUCUUUGAACGCACAUUGCGCCCUCUGGUAUUCCGGAGGGCAUGCCUGUUCGAGCGUCAUAAUGACCAAAUCACCCUAUGGUGGACUUGGAGCUGGCCGUCUGGCCUCUCUCAAAACUAGUGGCGGUGCUCUUAAAAGCUCUACGCGUAGUAANUUUUCUCGCUAUAGGGUCUUAUUAGUACUUGCCAACAACCCCAACUUUCUAAGGUUGACCUCGGAUCAGGUAGGGAUACCCGCUGAACUUAAGCAUAUCAAUAAGCGGAGGAAAAGAAACCAACAGGGAUUACCUCAGUAACGGCGAGUGAAGCGGUAACAGCUCAAAUUUGAAAUCUGGCUCUUUCAGGGUCCGAGUUGUAAUUUGUAGAAGAUGCUUUGAGCAUUGCUCCGGUCUAAGUUCCUUGGAACAGGACGUCAUAGAGGGUGAGAAUCCCGUAUGUGACUGGUGGCAUUUGUUCGUGUAAAGCUCUUUCGACGAGUCGAGUUGUUUGGGAAUGCAGCUCAAAAUGGGUGGUAUAUUUCAUCUAAAGCUAAAUAUUGGCCAGAGACCGAUAGCGCACAAGUAGAGUGAUCGAAAGAUGAAAAGCACUUUGGAAAGAGAGUUAAACAGUACGUGAAAUUGUUGAAAGGGAAGCGCUUGCAACCAGACUUGCAGGUCGUUGAUCAUCCGGGGUUCUCCCCGGUGCACUCGGCGGCUUUCAGGCCAGCAUCGGUUUGAGUGGUGGGAUAAAGGCCUUGGGAAUGUGGCUCCUCUCGGGGAGUGUUAUAGCCCAAGGUGCAAUGCCGCCUACUCGGACCGAGGACCGCGCUUCGGCUAGGAUGCUGGCGUAAUGGUUGUAAGCGACC
rnacentral:rRNA from 1 species